rnacentral:rRNA from 1 species
UACGGAGGGUGCAAGCGUUAUCCGGAUUCACUGGGUUUAAAGGGUGCGUAGGAGGGCAGGUAAGUCAGUGGUGAAAUCCCCGAGCUUAACUUGGGAACUGCCGUUGAUACUAUCUGUCUUGAAUACCGUGGAGGUGAGCGGAAUAUGUCAUGUAGCGGUGAAAUGCUUAGAUAUGACAUAGAACACCAAUUGCGAAGGCAGCUCGCUACACGAAUAUUGACUCUGAGGCACGAAAGCGUGGGGAUCAAAC